rnacentral:tRNA from 1 species
GCCCCGAUGGUGAAAUUGGUAGACACUGCAGACUUAAAAUCUGCCGCUCUUUACGGAGCGUACCGGUUCGAUUCCGGUUCGGGGCACCA